ACUACGGGAGGCAGCAGUGAGGAAUAUUGGUCAAUGGGCGGAAGCCUGAACCAGCCAAGUAGCGUGCAGGAUGACGGCCCUACGGGUUGUAAACUGCUUUUAUACGGGAAUAACGCGCCUUACGUGUAGGGCUUUGCAUGUACCGUAUGAAUAAGGACCGGCUAAUUCCGUGCCAGCAGCCGCGGUAAUACGGAAGGUCCGGGCGUUAUCCGGAUUUAUUGGGUUUAAAGGGAGCGUAGGCCGCAUGUCAAGCGUGCUGUGAAAUGUCCGGGCUCAACCCGGGCCUUGCAGCGCGAACUGGCGUGCUUGAGUCCGCGGAAGGCAGGCGGAAUUCGUCGUGUAGCGGUGAAAUGCUUAGAUAUGACGAAGAACCCCGAGUGCGAAGGCAGCUUGCUGCAGCGGAACUGACGCUGAUGCUCGAAAGCGCGGGUAUCGAACAGGAUUAGAUACCCUAGUAGUC
rnacentral:rRNA from 1 species